UACAGAGGGGCCAAGCGUUGUCCGGAUUGACUGGGCGUAAAGGGUGCGUAGGCGGGUCUUUAAGUCAGGGGUGAAAUCCUGGAGCUCAACUCCAGAACUGCCUUUGAUACUGAAGAUCUUGAGUUCGGGAGAGGUGAGUGGAACUGCGAGUGUAGAGGUGAAAUUCGUAGAUAUUCGCAAGAACACCAGUGGCGAAGGCGGCUCACUGGCCCGAUACUGACGCUGAGGCACGAAAGCGUGGGGAGCAAACAGG
rnacentral:rRNA from 1 species